rnacentral:rRNA from 1 species
AUGGCGACGCAGGUGGUGAGGCUGGCGGCGCUCCCCGUGGAGGUGGAGGGGAAGAAGGACGAGAAGGUGGUCAGGUGGCUCAAGCACUACUCCUCCGCGCAGCGCAUUCUCAUCGUCGGCGACGGCGACUUCUCCUUCUCCCGUGCGCUCGUCACCGCCUUCGGCUCCGGCGCCAACCUCGUCGCCACGUCCCUAGACUCAUACGGGGCGUUGAUCUGCAAGCAUCACCAAGCCGAAUCAAACGUAAGAGAGCUGAAGAGAAUGGGGGCCACAGUUUUGCAUGACGUUGACGUGAAGGAUAUGAAGCUUCAUACUUGUCUGAAGAUGAAACGGUUCGAUCGGAUUGUAUUCAAUUUCCCCCAUGCAGGUUUCAUUGGACAGGAGACCCAGCUGCAUGUGAUCAACUCGCACAAGGAGCUGGUGAGGGUCUUUUUCCGGAGUGCAAGCAACUUGCUUUGCCCUGACGGUGAAGUCCACGUCAGCCACAAGACAGGGCAGCCUUAUGACAGAUGGGAUAUAUCGAGCUUGGCCUCUGAAUAUUCACUUGUUAUGUUUGAGAAAGUUGGUUUUGCCAAAGGAGACUACCCUGGUUACAACCAGAAGAAAGGAGAUGGUCGCAAGUGCAAUCGAUCUUUCCCUCUACGUAAUGGCUGCACUUUCAAGUUCCGCAUGGAGCGUAAAGAAUCGGAAGAUGAAAGUGCGAUGUAUUGUCUUGUUGCUGCAAUGGCAAAGAUGAGCAUGGCUCGCGCUCACGAUGAUGUGACUAUGUAA